UAGGAAUAGGAAGUUAACCAAGAAGCUUAGCCUACUUCUUUAUUUUCAAAAGUCGUUUAGUGAAUUAUAGAAGUAAUAAAAGAACUAUACAAAUAUAAGUAUAACAAAGCUCACUGAACAAAAAAUAUGGCAAGGUAUUGUUAGACUUCCAUAAGUAAAAUACACAAUUACCUAAGAAAAUUAAGAAUUUCUUAAGUGAUUUCAACAAAAA
rnacentral:lncRNA from 1 species